rnacentral:rRNA from 1 species
AUUGAACGCUGGCGGCAGGCCUAACACAUGCAAGUCGAACGAGUGGCGGACGGGUGAGUAAUGUCUGGGAAACUGCCUGAUGGAGGGGGAUAACUACUGGAAACGGUAGCUAAUACCGCAUACCAUCGGAUGUGCCCAGAUGGGAUUAGCUAGUGGGUGGGGGAAAGGCUCACCUGGGCGACGAUCCCUAGCUGGUCGGAGAGGAUGACGAGCCACACGGGAAGUGAGAAACGGUCAAGACUCCUACGGAAGGCAGAAGUGGGGAAUAUUGCACAAUGGGCGCAAGCCUGAUGCAGCCAUGCCGCGUGUAUGAAGAAGGCCUUAGGGUUGUAAAGUACUUUCAGCGGGGAGGCGUUACCCGCAGAAGAAGCACCGGCUAACUCCGUGCCAGCAGCCGCGGUAAUAC